GGGANNNCGGNNGCUAUACAUGCAGUCGAGCGAACAGACAAGGAGCUUGCUCCUCUGACGUUAGCGGCGGACGGGUGAGUAACACGUGGAUUGCCUACCUAUAAGACUGGGAUCUCUUCGGGAGACCGGAGCUAAUACCGGAUAAUAUAUUGAACCGCGGGGUUCAAUAGUGAAAGACGGUUUUGCUGUCACUUAUAAAUGGAUCCGCGCCGCAUUAGCUAGUUGGUAAGGUAACGGCUUACCAAGGCAACGAUGCGUAGCCAACCUGAAAGGGUGAUCGGCCACACUGGAACUGACACACGGCCCAAACUCCUACGGGAGGCAGAAGUAGGGAAUCUUCCGCAAUGGGCGAAAGCCUGACGGACCAACCCCGCGUGAGUGAUGAAGGUCUUCGGAUCGAAAAACUCUGUUAUUAGGGAAGAACAAAUGUGUAACUAACUAUGCACCUCUUGACGGACCCUAAUCAAAAAGCCACGGCUAACUACGUGCCAGCAGCCGCGGAAAUACGUAGGUGGCAAGCGUUAUCCGGAAUUAUUGGGCGUAAAGCGCGCGUAGGCGGUUUUUUAAGUCUGAUGUGAAAGCCCACGGUUCAACCGUGGAGGGUCAUUGAAAACUGGAAAACUUGAUUGCAGAAAAGAAAAGUGAAAUUCCAUGUGUAGCGGUGAAAUGCACAGAGAUAUGGAGGAACACCAGUGACGAAGGCGACUUUCUGGUCUGUAACUGACUCUGAUGUGCGANCGCGUGGGGAUCAAACAGGAUUAAAUACCCUGGUAGUCCACGCACAAAACAAUGAGUGCUAGCUGUUAGGGGGUUUCUGCCCCUUAUUGCUGCAGAUAACGCAUUAAGCACUCCGCCUGAGAGAGAACGACCGCAAGGUUGAACCUCAAAGGAAUUGAUCGGGGACCCGCCCAUGCGGUGGAGCAAGCGGUUUCAUUCAAUAGCCAACGCANAGACCUAACUGNUCUUGGACAUCCUUCUGUACCCCUCUAGAANAUAGANGUUCCCUUCGUNGACAGAUUGACNGNGAGNNCAUGCAUGUCGUCAGCUCAGUACNGCAAUNGUNNNNAGGUCCCCCACCGACGNNAGCCCUNACUCUUAGUGCNUGCAUCAGUCANNNCCUCUAAGUGACUG
rnacentral:rRNA from 1 species